rnacentral:rRNA from 1 species
CGGAGGGAAAACACAAUGACUGAGUGGCGGACGGGUGAGUAACGCGUAGGGAACCUGGCCCUUACAGGGGGAUAACAGAUGGAAACAACUGCUAAUACCGCAUAAGCGCCCAGCCUCGCAUGAGGCAGAGUGAAAAACUAAGGUGGUAAGGGAUGGCCCUGCGUCCGAUUAGCUAGUUGGUAUGGUAACGGCAUACCAAGGCGACGAUCGGUAGCCGGCCUGAGAGGGUGGACGGCCACAUUGGGACUGAGACACGGCCCAAACUCCUACGGGAGGCAGCAGUGGGGGAUAUUGCACAAUGGGGGAAACCCUGAUGCAGCGACACCGCGUGGGUGAAGAAGCGCUUCGGCGUGUAAAGCCCUAUCAGUGGGGAAGAAAAAGGACGGUACCCAAAGAAGAAGCACCGGCUAAAUACGUGCCAGCAGCCGCGGUAAUACGUAUGGUGCAAGCGUUAUCCGGAAUGACUGGGUGUAAAGGGAGCGUAGACGGUUGUACAAGUCUGAUGUGAAAGCCCACGGCUCAACUGUGGGAGUGCAUUGGAAACUGUAGAACUAGAGUAUCGGAGAGGCAAGUGGAAUUCCUAGUGUAGCGGUGAAAUGCGUAGAUAUUAGGAGGAACACCAGUGGCGAAGGCGGCUUGCUGGACGAAAACUGACGUUGAGGCUCGAAAGCGUGGGGAGCAAACAGGAUUAGAUACCCUGGUAGUCCACGCUGUAAACGAUGAAUACUAGGUGUUGGGGCCCGAAGGGCGUCGGUGCCGUCGCAAACGCAGUAAGUAUUCCACCUGGGGAGUACGUUCGCAAGAAUGAAACUCAAAGGAAUUGACG